GAUGAAGAACGCAGCGAAAUGCGAUAAGUAGUGUGAAUUGCAGAAUUCCGUGAAUCAUCGAAUCUUUGAACGCACAUUGCGCCUUCUGGUAUUCCGGAAGGCAUGCCUGUUCGAGAGUCAUUAACAACCGUUUCGAUCCCUUUCUUUCAGAAAUUACAAAGAGGAAAAGGGUUUGGUUAUGGUGGAGGAGGGAAAGGGAGCGUUUAGCCUGUAAAAAAGAGGCUGUGUUCCGCCUCCCCCCCAACAUUGUACAGGCGGUCGUGUGCGCCCACGCAUCGAGGUGUUGUAAAAGCUGCCACGGCACUUUUCACCUGUGCAGUGCGAGAUUGGCCAGCCGGUUUAAAAACCCCUCCAAACAAUCAAAGGUUGACCUCGGAUCAGGUAGGGAUACCCGCUGAACUUAAGCAUAUCAAUAAGCGGAGGA
rnacentral:misc_RNA from 1 species